rnacentral:misc_RNA from 1 species
AACGCAUAUUGCGCUCUCUGGUAUUCCGGAGAGCAUGCUUGUUUGAGUAUCAGUAAACACCUCAACUCCCUCUUUUCUUUUCUGGAAUGAGGGAGCUGGACUUGAGUGAUCCCAACACUUUUCUUCACUGAAAAGUGGCGGGUCACUUGAAAUGCAGGUGCAGCUGGACUUUUCUCUGAGCUAUAAGCAUAUCUAUUUAGUCUGCCUAAAAAACAGAUUAUUACCUUUGCUGCAGCUAACAUAAAGGAGAUGAGUUCUUGUGCUGACUGAUGCAGGAUUCACAGAGACAGCUUCGCGGCUGACUUUGUAAACUCGAUCUCAAAUCAAGUAAGACUACCCGCUGAACUUAA